rnacentral:tRNA from 2 species
GGCGAGGUGCCGGAGUGGACGAACGGGGCGGUCUCGAAAACCGCUGUGGGUCUUGACGGCCCACCGGGGGUUCGAAUCCCUCCCUCGCCG